rnacentral:rRNA from 1 species
CUUUUUGAUAAUAAUUUAAGGUCCGGCCUGCCCAAUGAUUUUNVAAUGGCCGCGGUAUUUUGACCGUGCAAAGGUAGCAUAAUCAUUAGUUUUUUAAUUGAAAGCUGGAAUGAAAGGUUAGAUGAGAAAAUUACUGUCUCUAUUUAMNUYUAKNSSAAUUUUAUUUUUAAGUAAAAAAGCUUAAAUAAAUAUAAAAGACGAGAAGACCCUAUAGAGUUUUAUAAUUUUAUUUUUUAGAGUUNNNNGUAUUGUAAUAUUUGAAUAAUAAAAUUAUUUAGUUGGGGUGAUUGAAAAAUUAAAUGAACUUUUUUUAGAAAAAAACAUUUAUUUAUGAGUAUAUGAUCCUUUAUUAAAGAUUAAAAGAUUAAAUUACCUUAGGGAUAACAGCGUAAUUUUUUUUGAGAGUUCAAAUCGAAAAAAAAGAUUGCGNCCUCGAUGUUGGAUUAAAAUUAAUUUUUGGUGUAGGAGCUAAA